AGCGCAACCCUCGACCUUAGUUGCCAGCAUUCAGUUGGGCACUCUAAGGUGACUGCCGGCUAAAAAGUCGGAGGAAGGUGGGGAUGACGUCAAAUCAUCAUGCCCCUUAUGACCUGGGCUACACACGUGCUACAAUGGGCGGUACAAAGGGUCGCGAACCCGCGAGGGGGAGCCAAUCCCAAAAAGCCGCUCUCAGUUCGGAUUGCAGGCUGCAACUCGCCUGCAUGAAGCCGGAAUCGCUAGUAAUCGCGGAUCAGCAUGCCGCGGUGAAUACGUUCCCGGGCCUU
rnacentral:rRNA from 1 species